GAUGAACGCUGGCGGCGUGCCUAACACAUGCAAGUCGAGCGAUUUACUUCGGUAAAGAGCGGCGGACGGGUGAGUAACGCGUGGGUAACCUGCCCUAUACACACGGAUAACAUACCGAAAGGUAUGCUAAUACGAGAUAAUAUAAGAAAUUCGCAUGGAUUUCUUAUCAAAGCUUUUGCGGUAUAGGAUGGACCCGCGUCUGAUUAGCUAGUUGGUAAGGUAACGGCUUACCAAGGCGACGAUCAGUAGCCGACCUGAGAGGGUGAUCGGCCACAUUGGAACUGAGACACGGUCCAAACUCCUACGGGAGGCAGCAGUGGGGAAUAUUGCACAAUGGGCGAAAGCCUGAUGCAGCAACGCCGCGUGAGCGAUGAAGGCCUUCGGGUCGUAAAGCUCUGUCCUCAAGGAAGAUAAUGACGGUACUUGAGGAGGAAGCCCCGGCUAACUACGUGCCAGCAGCCGCGGUAAUACGUAGGGGGCUAGCGUUAUCCGGAAUUACUGGGCGUAAAGGGUGCGUAGGUGGUUUCUUAAGUCAGAGGUGAAAGGCUACGGCUCAACCGUAGUAAGCCUUUGAAACUGAGAAACUUGAGUGCAGGAGAGGAGAGUAGAAUUCCUAGUGUAGCGGUGAAAUGCGUAGAUAUUAGGAGGAAUACCAGUUGCGAAGGCGGCUCUCUGGACUGUAACUGACACUGAGGCACGAAAGCGUGGGGAGCAAACAGGAUUAGAUACCCUGGUAGUCCACGCCGUAAACGAUGAGUACUAGCUGUCGGAGGUUACCCCCUUCGGUGGCGCAGCUAACGCAUUAAGUACUCCGCCUGGGAAGUACGCUCGCAAGAGUGAAACUCAAAGGAAUUGACGGGGACCCGCACAAGUAGCGGAGCAUGUGGUUUAAUUCGAAGCAACGCGAAGAACCUUACCUAAGCUUGACAUCCUUCUGACCUCUCCCUAAUCGGAGAUUUCCCUUCGGGGACAGAAGUGACAGGUGGUGCAUGGUUGUCGUCAGCUCGUGUCGUGAGAUGUUGGGUUAAGUCCCGCAACGAGCGCAACCCUUGCCUUUAGUUGCCAGCAUUAAGUUGGGCACUCUAGAGGGACUGCCAGGGAUAACCUGGAGGAAGGUGGGGAUGACGUCAAAUCAUCAUGCCCCUUAUGCUUAGGGCUACACACGUGCUACAAUGGGUGGUACAGAGGGCAGCCAAGUCGUGAGGCGGAGCUAAUCCCUUAAAGCCAUUCUCAGUUCGGAUUGUAGGCUGAAACUCGCCUACAUGAAGCUGGAGUUACUAGUAAUCGCAGAUCAGAAUGCUGCGGUGAAUGCGUUCCCGGGUCUUGUACACACCGCCCGUCACACCAUGGGAGUUGGGGGCGCCCGAAGCCGGUUAGCUAACCUUUUGGAAGCGGCCGUCGAAGGUGAAACCAAUAACUGGGGUGAAGUCGUAACAAGGUAGCCGUAUCGGAAGGUGCGGCUGGAUCACCUCCUUUCUAAGGAGAAUUGCCUACUGUUUAAUUUUGAGGGUUCUUAAAAUCCUUAAAAAACAUAUUGACAAAAAUCGACAAAGUUAUUAUAAUAUAACAUGUUGAAAAUAACAUGGGGGUGUAGCUCAGCUGGGAGAGCACUUGCCUUGCACGCAAGGGGUCAGGAGUUCGAUCCUCCUCAUCUCCACCAUUAGUACUUAAAUGUACUGUUAGUACUUUGAAAACUGCAUAACAUUUAGUGAUAUGACAUCAUUUAAUUAUAUAUGGACAAGAAAAGUCCUUAAAAUUACAAACUUUAAUAACUGGUCAAGUUAUUAAGGGUGCAGGGCGGAUGCCUUGGCACUAGGAGCCGAUGAAGGACGUGAUAAGCUGCGAUAAGCUUCGGGGAGUUGCACGUAAACUUUGAUCCGAAGAUUUCCGAAUGAGGAAACUCACUUAGAGUAAUGUCUAAGUAUCGUUAAGUGAAUACAUAGCUUAGCGAGGGGAACCCGGGGAACUGAAACAUCUAAGUACCUGGAGGAAGAGAAAGAAAAAUCGAUUCCGUAAGUAGCGGCGAGCGAACGCGGAACAGGCCAAACCAAUGAAGUUUACUUCGUUGGGGUUGCGGACAUGUCAUUAACGAAGAGGUAUCGUAAGUGAAGAGAGUUGGAAAGCUCCGCUAUAAAAGGUAAUAGCCCUGUAGCUGAAACGAGAAGACUUUAGAUAUGAUCCAGAGUACCACGGGACACGUGAAACCCUGUGGGAAGCAGGAGGGACCAUCCUCCAAGCCUAAAUACUACCUAGUGACCGAUAGCGCAU
rnacentral:rRNA from 1 species